rnacentral:rRNA from 1 species
AUUGAACGCUGGCGGCAGGCCUAACACAUGCAAGUCGAGCGGAUGACGGGAGCUUGCUCCUUGAUUCAGCGGCGGACGGGUGAGUAAUGCCUAGGAAUCUGCCUGGUAGUGGGGGACAACGUUUCGAAAGGAACGCUAAUACCGCAUACGUCCUACGGGAGAAAGCAGGGGACCUUCGGGCCUUGCGCUAUCAGAUGAGCCUAGGUCGGAUUAGCUAGUUGGUGAGGUAAUGGCUCACCAAGGCGACGAUCCGUAACUGGUCUGAGAGGAUGAUCAGUCACACUGGAACUGAGACACGGUCCAGACUCCUACGGGAGUCAGCAGUGGGGAAUAUUGGACAAUGGGCGAAAGCCUGAUCCAGCCAUGCCGCGUGUGUGAAGAAGGUCUUCGGAUUGUAAAGCACUUUAAGUUGGGAGGAAGGGCAGUAAGUUAAUACCUUGCUGUUUUGACGUUACCGACAGAAUAAGCACCGGCUAACUCUGUGCCAGCCGCCGCAGUAAAAC